GACGAACGCUGGCGGCGUGCUUAACACAUGCAAGUCGAACGGAAAGGCCCUGCUUUUGGGGGGUGCUCUAGUUGCGAACGGGUGAGUAACACUUGGGUAACCUGCCCUUGACUUUGGGAUAACUUCAUGAAACUUGAUCUAAUACCGGAUAGGAUCUCCUGCUGCAGGGUGGGGGUUGGAAAGUUUCGGCGGUUGGGGUGGGACUCGCGUCUUAUCAGCUUGUUGGUGGGGUAGUGGCUUACCAAGGCUUGGACCCGUAGCCGGGCUGAGAGGGUGACCGGACCAAUCGGGCUUGAGCUAAGGCCCAGCCUACUCCGCGAGGCAGCAGUGGGGAAUAGUGUACUAUGGGCGGAAGCAUGAUGCAGCAAAGCCGCGUGGGGGAUGACGGCCAUCGGGUUGUAAACCGCUUUCGCCUGUCACGAAGUGUGAGUGACGGUAAUGGGUAAAGAAGCACCGGCUAACUACGUG
rnacentral:rRNA from 1 species